ACGGAAGGCAGCAGUGGGGAAUAUUGGGCAAUGGGCGAAAGCCUGACCCAGCAACGCCGCGUGAAGGAUGACGGUCUUCGGAUUGUAAACUUCUUUAAUUGGGGAAGAAUAAAUGACCUACCCAAAGAAUGAGUCACGGCUAACUACGUGCCAGCAGCCGCGGUAAUACGUAGGUGACAAGCGUUAUCCGGAUUUACUGGGCGUAAAGGGCGUGUAGGCGGUUUGGCGAGUCAGAAGUGAAAUUCCUGAGCUCAACUCGGGCGCUGCUUCUGAAACUGCUAGACUUGAGUGCUGGAGGGGAUAGCGGAAUUCCUAGUGGAGCGGUAAAAUGCGCAGAUAUUAGGAAGAACACCGGUGGCGAAGGCGGCUAUCUGGACAGUAACUGACGCUGAGGCGCGAAAGCGUGGGGAGCAAACAGGAUUAGAUACCCUGGUA
rnacentral:rRNA from 1 species